rnacentral:rRNA from 1 species
GAUGAACGCUGGCGGCGUGCCUAAUACAUGCAAGUCGAGCGAACGGACGAGAAGCUUGCUUCUCUGAUGUUAGCGGCGGACGGGUGAGUAACACGUGGAUAACCUACCCAUAAGACUGGGAUAACUUCGGGAAACCGGGGCUAAUACCGGAUAAUAUUUUGAACCGCAUGGUUCAAAAGUGAAAGACGGUCUUGCUGUCACUUAUGGAUGGAUCCGCGCAGCAUUAGCUAGUUGGUAAGGUAACGGCUUACCAAGGCAACGAUGCAUAGCCGACCUGAGAGGGUGAUCGGCCACACUGGAACUGAGACACGGUCCAGACUCCUACGGGAGGCAGCAGUAGGGAAUCUUCCGCAAUGGGCGAAAGCCUGACGGAGCAACGCCGCGUGAGUGAUGAAGGUCUUCGGAUCGUAAAACUCUGUUAUUAGGGAAGAACAUAUGUGUAAGUAACUGUGCACAUCUUGACGGUACCUAAUCAGAAAGCCACGGCUAACUACGUGCCAGCAGCCGCGGUAAUACGUAGGUGGCAAGCGUUAUCCGGAAUUAUUGGGCGUAAAGCGCGCGUAGGCGGUUUUUUAAGUCUGAUGUGAAAGCCCACGGCUCAACCGUGGAGGGUCAUUGGAAACUGGAAAACUUGAGUGCAGAAGAGGAAAGUGGAAUUCCAUGUGUAGCGGUGAAAUGCGCAGAGAUAUGGAGGAACACCAGUGGCGAAGGCGACUUUCUGGUCUGUAACUGACGCUGAUGUGCGAAAGCGUGGGGAUCAAACAGGAUUAGAUACCCUGGUAGUCCACGCCGUAAACGAUGAGUGCUAAGUGUUAGGGGGUUUCCGCCCCUUAGUGCUGCAGCUAACGCAUUAAGCACUCCGCCUGGGGAGUACGACCGCAAGGUUGAAACUCAAAGGAAUUGACGGGGACCCGCACAAGCGGUGGAGCAUGUGGCUUAAUUCGAAGCAACGCGAAGAACCUUACCAAAUCUUGACAUCCUUUGACAACUCUAGAGAUAGAGCCUUCCCCUUCGGGGGACAAAGUGACAGGUGGUGCAUGGUUGUCGUCAGCUCGUGUCGUGAGAUGUUGGGUUAAGUCCCGCAACGAGCGCAACCCUUAAGCUUAGUUGCCAUCAUUAAGUUGGGCACUCUAAGUUGACUGCCGGUGACAAACCGGAGGAAGGUGGGGAUGACGUCAAAUCAUCAUGCCCCUUAUGAUUUGGGCUACACACGUGCUACAAUGGACAAUACAAAGGGCAGCGAAACCGCGAGGUCAAGCAAAUCCCAUAAAGUUGUUCUCAGUUCGGAUUGUAGUCUGCAACUCGACUACAUGAAGCUGGAAUCGCUAGUAAUCGUAGAUCAGCAUGCUACGGUGAAUACGUUCCCGGGUCU